UACGGGGGGAGCAAGCGUUGUUCGGAUUACUGGGCGUAAAGGGCGCGAUAGGCGGCGCAACAAGUCACUUGUGAAAUCUCCGGGCUUAACUCGGAAAGGUCAAGUGAUACUGUUGUGCUAGAGUGCGGAAGGGGCAACUGGAAUUCUCGGUGUAGCGGUGAAAUGCGUAGAUAUCGAGAGGAACACCUGCGGCGAAGGCGGCAUCCUGGACCGGUAUUGACGCUGAGGCGCGAAAGCUAGGGGAGCAAACGGG
rnacentral:rRNA from 1 species